GCCAAGUUGGCGGAGCGGCCACGCGGCUGCCUGCAGAGCAGCUCUACUCCCGUUCAAAUCGGGAACUUGGCU
rnacentral:tRNA from 2 species